AUUCGUUUAUGUAGUUCGAGCUGUAUAAAAAGGCCAAACGUUCGAACCAAUUCACUCUAUUCACUUGAUCCACUCUGCAAUUUGCAAUUUUUCCACUUUCAGCUGUAGAAAUGCUUUCUAAGGUCCUUGCUGCUGUUGCCUUCUUGGGCUUGCUUGCUUAUGCUGCUGCUGAUCCCAAUGUAUUCGACGACAUCGAAACAGGAUUGAACCAUAUUAUUGGCCAUGACCAACAUCACCACUGAUAUAAUUAGUGUGAGCUUAAUGAGCAUAUGAAAAUGUAUUAGCAGACAAAGAAAAUAAUAAAUUUUG